rnacentral:rRNA from 1 species
UACGUGUGAGGCAAGCGUUAUUCGUCUUUAAUGGGUCUAAAGGGUACGUAGGCGGUAUAUGUAAUCAUAUUAUUAAUCACAUGUGUGUGGAUUUGAUAUUUAUAUACUAGAGUUCGGUAGAGGAGUGUGGAAUUCCUGGUGGAGCGGUGAAAUGCGCAGAUAUCAGGAGGAACACCCGUAGCGAAGGCGGCACUCUGGGCCGAUACUGACGCUGAGGAGCGAAAGCGUGAGGAGCGAACAGG